rnacentral:rRNA from 1 species
ACGAACGCUGGCGGCGUGCUUAACACAUGCCAGUCGAACGGAAAGGCCCUGCUUGCAGGGUACUCGAGUGGCGAACGGGUGAGUAACACGUGGGUGAUCUGCCCUGCACUUCGGGAUAAGCCUGGGAAACUGGGUCUAAUACCGGAUAGGAGCCAUUUUUAGUGUGAUGGUUGGAAAGUUUUUUCGGUGUAGGAUGAGCUCGCGGCCUAUCAGCUUGUUGGUGGGGUAAUGGCCUACCAAGGCGGCGACGGGUAGCCGGCCUGAGAGGGUGGACGGCCACAUUGGGACUGAGAUACGGCCCAGACUCCUACGGGAGGCAGCAGUGGGGAAUAUUGCACAAUGGGCGCAAGCCUGAUGCAGCGACGCCGCGUGGGGGAUGACGGCCUUCGGGUUGUAAACGCCUUUCGCUAGGGACGAAGCUUUUUGUGACGGUACCUAGAUAAGAAGCACCGGCUAACUACGUG